GACAGAGGCCUCGAGCGUUAGGCGGAAUCACUGGGCUUAAAGCGUGUGUAGGCGGAAGGGUAAGUACCUUGUGAAAUCCCACGGCUUAACCGUGGAACUGCUGGGUAUACUGCUUUUCUUGAGCCAUUCAGGGGCAACUGGAACAGAUGGUGGAGCGGUGAAAUGCGUAGAUAUCAUCUGGAACGCCAAUGGUGAAGACAGGUUGCUGGGGAUGUGCUGACGCUGAGACACGAAAGCCAGGGGAGCGAACGGG
rnacentral:rRNA from 1 species